rnacentral:rRNA from 1 species
UACAGAGGUCUCAAGCGUUGUUCGGAUUCAUUGGGCGUAAAGGGUGCGUAGGUGGCGUGGUAAGUCGGGUGUGAAAUUUCGGAGCUUAACUCCGAAACUGCAUUCGAUACUGCUGUGCUUGAGGACUGGAGAGGAGACUGGAAUUUACGGUGUAGCGGUGAAAUGCGUAGAUAUCGUAAGGAAGACCAGUGGCGAAGGCGGGUCUCUGGACAGUUCCUGACGCUGAGGCACGAAGGCCAGGGGAGCAAACAGG